ensembl:processed_transcript A430010J10Rik RIKEN cDNA A430010J10 gene
AGAACUACUUGCUCAGUCUGAAAUGGCAGGCUUCUGUGUCCUUGCCAGUCUCUGUGCUGACAGGAGCAAGGAAGGGCCUCUGUCCAGGGACACUAUGCUGUGCUGCAGACACUGUCUCAUUUAACCCUCAUGGAAGCCCAAGGGCUAGGAUUCUAACAGCAGGCCACAGCUGUCCCUGUCCUUGGGGCUUGCAGACAACUGGAUAGCUGAGUGUGUGGGUCCACGAGAUAGCUUGGAAAGUAAGGGUGUUUGCUGCUAAGCCCGAUGACCCAGAAUUCACAUUACAAGGAAAGAGAACCGAUCCGCAGGAGCCCGUGUCUGCAUGCAGGACUCUGAAAAUAUGAAGCUUUACCUGAGCAGGAAAUAGACAGCCACAUCCUGCUUGGCAGUCAGGGGGCAGAGAGCAAGAGAUGCUGGACCUGAACUGGGCUUUUGAAACCUCAAAGCCCACCCCCAGCAGCACAACUCCUCCAACAAGAUAUGUCUGCUCACUAGAAUGUGCACUUCUUGGACACGAGUCACACUCCCCAGACCAGGAUAAGGCCUGCUUGUGUUUGCUGAGAUAAUAAAUGAGUGGACAAAGAAGCUGGAGAUGAGACUCUCACAGAGCAGAUUUCUCUGAGGGGAGAAACCAAAGCCUCAAAGCCCAGCCUGAGAGCUAAGGAGAUGACCUGGGAGGUUAAGAACACUGGCUGUGCCUGCGGAGGACACAAGUUUGGUUCCUAGCAUCCACAUAGGACAACACGGAACUUCUAUAAAUCCAGCCGCCCAGGAUCCGACAUCCUCUGCUGGUACUUACACUCAUUCAUAUUCACACCAUUUAAAGACUUUUGAAUGAAUCUUAAAAAUAGAAAAGAAACAAACAAGAGUAAGAAACCAAGCCUGGCAUUUAGCCCAUGUUUCCAACCCUUUAGAUGGGUUAUUUCAAUUAACUUUCAGAAUUAAACCACAAAGAGGGUUAGAGGUAUAGCCCAUUUUAAGAGGUGCUUGCCUAGCAUACACUACACCUGGUUCUGAUCCCAGGGCACAUACACACAAAAGUAGAGAGAUUAGUCUCCUCCAAGGGGGUGAGAGCACUGCCUAACACCACAUUAGCUAACACACGAUGGUCGUGAGCACAGGAUGUCACGUCACGCCCCAGGUGAUCUGUGCAUGUCUUCAUUGCUGUCAUUUAAUUCUACCUGACAUUUCUGUUUACCAUUCUGAUUACCAAGGGAGAUACGUGUAAUUUCCUGUCAUCCACCCAGUGUUAGCAAAACGUUAAGUCUUGACCAUGAAGGAAUUGUCUGGAUCUACUUGGGGCUGAUCAGUAAGUGGCCACUCUUUGCAAGUGUUUGCACAGAUGGCUGCCUCAGUACACAGAGGUGCUCUAGCUAUAAGGACGGAGGGCAUAAAAACAGUAAGCUGGGCUCGGGGCACAGUACACUACUGGGAGAGCGAGGCUUAGAAUGUCCAAGGUCCUGAGGUACCUUAUGUUUACAAUGAGGCAAAUCUGGGCAAGAGAUAGUCAGGCGUUCAAGGAGCAAACAAGUGGGAAAAGAUGGAAGUGUUUGGAGGAGACUCGAAGCUUUGUGUUUCCUCUUUGAAUCAUUUACUUCUCCAGCUAGUUAUUCUUUACGUUGUUUGCAAGGUCUUGUCUUUCCCAUUUGAAACACAGUUGGCCAGCAGCUGGAGAUGCUGAACACUGGCGUGUAUAAAACCCUAGACUCCAUUCUCAACAGGUUUAAAAAAAAAAAAAAAGGCUAGUCACUUCUGCUCCAGCAAACCAGGUUGUGACUUCCGGGGCUGCAGUGGCUAAGGACAGUGUUGCAGCAACAUAACAUAAUCAUAAAGACCUCUGCCUUUAUUGUCUGUUUCAGUCUAUGCCACAUGAAACCCUAACCAAGUUCUUCCACCAGUAAGCCAGUUAAAACAGCCAAGUUCACAGUGAAAGAGCUGAAAACGGAAGAGGGACAAAGAGAACAGCUGAUCAGGAUUCCUCUUCCAGAGCCAAACGUGAGGUUAGGUUUAAAUUGAAGCCAGAGUUGAUAGUUUCCUGACU